CACGUAGGGCGCGAGCGUUGUCCGGAAUUAUUGGGCGUAAAGAGCUCGUAGGCGGCCUGUUGCGUCCGCUGUGAAAGCCCGGGGCUUAACCCCGGGUCUGCAGUGGAUACGGGCAGGCUAGAGGUAGGUAGGGGAGAAUGGAAUUCCCGGUGUAGCGGUGAAAUGCGCAGAUAUCAGGAAGAACACCCGUGGCUAAGGCGGCUCUCUAGUACGGUACUGACGCUGAGACGCGAAAGCGUGGGGAGCGAACAGG
rnacentral:rRNA from 1 species